rnacentral:rRNA from 1 species
AGAGUUUGAUCCUGGCUCAGAAUGAACGCUGGCGGCGUGCUUUACACAUGCAAGUUGAGCGAGGCCACCCGCAAGGGUGAGUCGAGCGGCGAACGGGUGAGUAACGCGUGGAUGACCUGCCCUUGAGUGGGGAAUAACCCGGGGAAACUCGGGCUAAUACCGCAUAAGACCGAGAGGUGAAAGCGGGGUCGCAAGAUCUCGUGCUCAUGGAGGGGUCCGCGUUCGAUUAGCUAGUUGGUAGGGUAAUGGCCUACCAAGGCGACGAUCGAUAGCCGGCCUGAGAGGGUGAUCGGCCACACUGGAACUGAGACACGGUCCAGACUCCUACGGGAGGCAGCAGUGGGGAAUUUUGCGCAAUGGGCUAACGCCUGACGCAGCAACGCCGCGUGGAGGAUGAAGGUCUUUGGAUUGUAAACUCCUGUCAGCAGGGAAAAAANGGAGUGGGGCCUAAAUACGUCUACAACUUUNAUUUGUNCCUGCAGAGGGAAGCCCCGGGCUUAACUCCGUUGUCCCAGCCAGGCCGCUGGUAAAUACCGGGGGGGGGGCAAGGCGUUNGUUCCGGCAAUUNACUUUGGGCCGUANAUGGGNCNCNNUUGCGGCNGGCCCAAUUAAUCUCCNNACNNUGAAAAUNCCNCCNGGCUUNAACCCUGGGAAACCUGGCGUCUUGNAUUCUUGGGAUGGGNUNGAANUUCCNGGNNANG